GCUUACCUAUCAGCGACUGUAUCUGCUUCAGCGUAACCUUGCGAGCCUGGCGGACGUCCGCCACCGCGCCACGCAGCCCCAGCAGUUUGUCCUGGGGCAAGCGACAUUCCCCGCAGGGAGUCGAUUUCCAGUCCCAGGAAGCAGAGGCACUCUGUGGGGCCUUCAGUCUUCCCUGCCUCUAGCGGUACCCCAAACACACACGCCACCCAUUCAACCAUCCACAGCAGGUAGCCGCAUACCUGAGAACCAGCCGGGCCCACACAGAGGAAGUCAUCCAAGUAGUGAACCACCGACCGAUGCCCGUAUUACUCCCUAACCACCCAUUCCAGGAAGGUGCUGAACUUCUCGAAGUAUGAGCACGAUAUUGAGCAGCCCAUCGGGAGACAAAGGUCCACGAAGUAGUGGCCCUCGAAAAAACACCCCAGCAAGUGGUGGCAUACCGGAUGCACAGGUAGCAACCGGAACGCCGCCUUGAUGUCCACCUUGGCCAUCAGCGCCCCCUGCC